UCUUCUCUAGUGCUGUCCAGUUGAUUGUUUUGAAGAAAGGAUGGUCUCUGAUAUUCCCAGUGACCCCAAGUCGUUUUGCUGGAUCCCUUUCAAAGAGCUGCAAGAGAAGACACCUGGUAAAGCCUUUCAUCUGCUCAAAAGAGGGAGAUGGACAAUACCAGAUGUUUGGAGCAUUGUUCACCUAAGGCCUUUUGUAAGGCUCUGAAGCACAGAGACAUCAUUCUUUGGACCUGUUUGUUACAUAGAGCAGAAUGAAUGUUGACCCAAAACUUCACAAAUAGGCCCAGGGGAUACCAGGAGAGGCUGCCAGAUGCAGAGAUGUUUGCUGGAAUGCAGUGCUUAUUAAAAAAGAUUGUCUAACACAAGGCAAGAAUAAAUAACUACUUAAAUUCUCUGGGCUUGUGUCUGAAUCUUUAUUUGCAAGUCAGAAGUCAGCCACAAAAGACAGUCAUGCUGCAGCAGGAGAUGAACAAGCUAUGGGGCCAGUGUUAAUUCCAAAGC